UUCAAGCUCAAAAAACGUGUUGAAUGAAGAAUGAUUGGCCAAAAUGAUUUCUGUUGUCAGCACAAACCCAGCCACAGGGAGCUGUGCUGGGGACCUGAAUUCCAAGGCCGAGAAAAGGGCAGGGAAGCCUGCAGACCACCAUAGGAGUGACAGAGUGGCCCGACCUGAGAUAGGGGUCUGCACCUUACAGAGACAUCUGUGUGUCUCACUAGGUGUAGUCGUCAGGAGCUGUCGGCCAGGUGACAACCGUCUUGGCCUUUGGCCAGGGCAGAAUGGCUGGCUGGGUUGCUGGUUGGUGACUGGGCAGUGUGGCAGCUCACCAGACUGCACUUUAGCCCCUAGCUGACAUCUGGACUCUGCCGCCCCCCCCAGGGUCACCCAGUGCUGGGCACAGGUGGAGACCCGGCACUUGACUCUCAAACGGAGUGAGUCUGAGUUACAUGCUGGAAGCAUGAGAUCGUCACCAGAUUCCAAAGAUUUGUUUCACACACACAAAUGUGAAAAUACUAAUUUUUUUGUAUCUUGGUUGUAUGUUGAAAUGAUAUUUCAAUAUAUUCGGUUAAUUCCCUGUGUUUCUUCUUACCAUUUUAAUACGGCUACUGGAAAAUCUAACAGUAGCUAUGUGCCUUCUGGUCCAUUUCUAUUGGAUGGUGCUGGUCUAGAUUAUUUGCUUAUUUAUUAUUUAUUGUUGCCCCUACUCCCACCCCACGUCUCUGUUAGAGGGCGGGAGUUGACAUAGUAUUUCGUUCGCUGCCCUGUCGGUUCACGGCGAAUUCCGGGUCUCCGGAGCCCGGCACUGGUGUUUACUGUAGAUGCUCAGUAAAUACUUGUUUAACUGAGCCCGGCGGUGCGAUUGCAGGUCAGUCUCGCAGGGUUAGGAGAGCGUCCCUGUAGGGACCCACGUUGCCCGACUCCUCUACCACCCACAGGGCUCCACAAGGUGACCUGGUCGGCCCCAGGGAGCCUUUCUUGACACCCUUCCCCCACCCCGUG